CAGCCGCCGCGGUAAUACGUAGGGUGCGAGCGUUAAUCGGAAUUACUGGGCGUAAAGCGGGCGCAGACGGUUACUUAAGCAGGAUGUGAAAUCCCCGGGCUCAACCUGGGAACUGCGUUCUGAACUGGGUGACUAGAGUGUGUCAGAGGGAGGUAGAAUUCCACGUGUAGCAGUGAAAUGCGUAGAGAUGUGGAGGAAUACCGAUGGCGAAGGCAGCCUCCUGGGAUAACACUGACGUUCAUGCCCGAAAGCGUGGGUAGCAAACAGGAUUAGAUACCCGAGUAGUCCCUGUCUCUUAUAC
rnacentral:rRNA from 1 species